CACGUAGGGUGCAAGCGUUGUCCGGAAUUAUUGGGCGUAAAGGGCUCGUAGGCGGUCCGUCACGUCGGGAGUGAAAAGCUGGGGCUUAACCCCAGUCCUGCUUCCGAUACGGGUGGACUAGAGGUAGGUAGGGGAGAACGGAAUUCCUGGUGUAGCGGUGAAAUGCGCAGAUAUCAGGAAGAACACCCGUGGCGAAGGCGGCUCUCUGGGACGGUACUGACGCUGAGGCGCGAAAGCGUGGGGAGCAAACAGG
rnacentral:rRNA from 1 species